UGAAGUACAAGGGACAGAGAUGCUGGC
rnacentral:piRNA from 1 species